rnacentral:rRNA from 1 species
UACGUAGGUGGCAAGCGUUGUUCGGAAUUAUUGGGCGUAAAGGGCGCGUAGGCGGUUUGUUAAGUCCGCUGUGAAAGCCCUGGGCUCAACCUGGGAAUUGCAGUGGAUACUGGCAAGCUAGAGUGCGGUAGGGGAGACUGGAAUUCCUGGUGUAGCGGUGAAAUGCGCAGAUAUCAGGAGGAACACCGGUGGCGAAGGCGGGUCUCUGGGCCGAUACUGACGCUGAGGAGCGAAAGCGUGGGGAGCGAACAGG